rnacentral:rRNA from 1 species
GAUGAACGCUGGCGGCGUGCCUAAUACAUGCAAGUCGAGCGAACGGACGAGAAGCUUGCUUCUCUGAUGUUAGCGGCGGACGGGUGAGUAACACGUGGAUAACCUACCUAUAAGACUGGGAUAACUUCGGGAAACCGGAGCUAAUACCGGAUAAUAUUUUGAACCGCAUGGUUCAAAAGUGAAAGACGGUCUUGCUGUCACUUAUAGAUGGAUCCGCGCUGCAUUAGCUAGUUGGUAAGGUAACGGCUUACCAAGGCAACGAUGCAUAGCCGACCUGAGAGGGUGAUCGGCCACACUGGAACUGAGACACGGUCCAGACUCCUACGGGAGGCAGCAGUAGGGAAUCUUCCGCAAUGGGCGAAAGCCUGACGGAGCAACGCCGCGUGAGUGAUGAAGGUCUUCGGAUCGUAAAACUCUGUUAUUAGGGAAGAACAUAUGUGUAAGUAACUGUGCACAUCUUGACGGUACCUAAUCAGAAAGCCACGGCUAACUACGUGCCAGCAGCCGCGGUAAUACGUAGGUGGCAAGCGUUAUCCGGAAUUAUUGGGCGUAAAGCGCGCGUAGGCGGUUUUUUAAGUCUGAUGUGAAAGCCCACGGCUCAACCGUGGAGGGUCAUUGGAAACUGGAAAACUUGAGUGCAGAAGAGGAAAGUGGAAUUCCAUGUGUAGCGGUGAAAUGCGCAGAGAUAUGGAGGAACACCAGUGGCGAAGGCGACUUUCUGGUCUGUAACUGACGCUGAUGUGCGAAAGCGUGGGGAUCAAACAGGAUUAGAUACCCUGGUAGUCCACGCCGUAAACGAUGAGUGCUAAGUGUUAGGGGGUUUCCGCCCCUUAGUGCUGCAGCUAACGCAUUAAGCACUCCGCCUGGGGAGUACGACCGCAAGGUUGAAACUCAAAGGGAUUGACGGGGACCCGCACAAGCGGUGGAGCAUGUGGUUUAAUUCGAAGCAACGCGAAGAACCUUACCAAAUCUUGACAUCCUUUGACAACUCUAGAGAUAGAGCCUUCCCCUUCGGGGGACAAAGUGACAGGUGGUGCAUGGUUGUCGUCAGCUCGUGUCGUGAGAUGUUGGGUUAAGUCCCGCAACGAGCGCAACCCUUAAGCUUAGUUGCCAUCAUUAAGUUGGGCACUCUAAGUUGACUGCCGGUGACAAACCGGAGGAAGGUGGGGAUGACGUCAAAUCAUCAUGCCCCUUAUGAUUUGGGCUACACACGUGCUACAAUGGACAAUACAAAGGGCAGCGAAACCGCGAGGUCAAGCAAAUCCCAUAAAGUUGUUCUCAGUUCGGAUUGUAGUCUGCAACUCGACUACAUGAAGCUGGAAUCGCUAGUAAUCGUAGAUCAGCAUGCUACGGUGAAUACGUUCCCGGGUCU